rnacentral:rRNA from 1 species
UACGGGCAAUACUUGAGUGCUGUAGGGGAGACUGGAAUUCCUGGUGUAGCGGUGAAAUGCGCAGAUAUCAGGAGGAACACCAAUGGCGAAGGCAGGUCUCUGGGCAGUAACUGACGCUGAGGAGCGAAAGCAUGGGUAGCGAACAGGAUUAGAUACCCUGGUAGUCCAUGCCGUAAACGGUGGGCGCUAGGUGUAGGGGACUUCCACGUCUUCUGUGCCGUAGCUAACGCAUUAAGCGCCCCGCCUGGGGAGUACGGCCGCAAGGCUAAAACUCAAAGGAAUUGACGGGGGCCCGCACAAGCGGCGGAGCAUGUGGAUUAAUUCGAUGCAACGCGAAGAACCUUACCUGGGCUUGACAUACACCGGACCGGGCUAGAGAUAGUCCUUCCCUUGUGGCUGGUGUACAGGUGGUGCAUGGUUGUCGUCAGCUCGUGUCGUGAGAUGUUGGGUUAAGUCCCGCAACGAGCGCAACCCUUGUCUUAUGUUGCCAGCACGUGAUGGUGGGGACUCAUGAGAGACUGCCGGGGUCAACUCGGAGGAAGGUGGGGAUGACGUCAAAUCAUCAUGCCCCUUAUGUCCAGGGCUUCACACAUGCUACAAUGGUCGGUACAGCAGGUCGCGAACUCGUGAGAGUAAGCCAAUCCUUCAAAGCCGGCCUCGGUUCGGAUUGGGGUCUGCAACUCGACCCCAUGAAGUCGGAGUCGCUAGUAAUCGCAGAUCAGCAACGCUGCGGUGAAUACGUUCCCGGGCCUUGUACACACCG